rnacentral:rRNA from 1 species
UACGUAGGGUGCAAGCGUUAAUCGGAAUUACUGGGCGUAAAGCGUGCGCAGGUGGUUGUGUAAGCUUGAUGUGAAAUCCCCGGGCUUAACCUGGGAAUGGCAUUGAGGACUGCACGGCUAGAGUGUGGCAGAGGGGGGUGGAAUUCCGCGUGUAGCAGUGAAAUGCGUAGAGAUGCGGAGGAACACCAAUGGCGAAGGCAGCCCCCUGGGUUAACACUGACACUCAUGCACGAAAGCGUGGGGAGCAAACAGG